rnacentral:lncRNA from 1 species
GGAGACGGAACGUUUGAAGGGAUACACAACAAAGGGGAAAAGGUUGAAGAAUUUGCACCUGUCUCGGAGGUGUCAUGCUAUGUGUUACCCCUUUCUUACCUGGGUUGUUUGCGCCAAAGCGAUCAGCUGCUCAGAAUAAAUUCCAGGUAGAUUUGCAAGUUGAGAACAAAGUGGAGAGAAGUGAGUGGAAGGGGAGUCUCCUUCAGCCACUGCAGCUCAUCACUGAAAUUGGUGUGCUUGGCUUCCGUCUUUUGCCUCGAUGCCCCCUCAAGGUAACUGACCUCAGCCGAACCCCCACCUCCCAGGUGAGACCCAGAGCCUUCAACUGCAAGUCUUGCCCACCCCACAUCCCUCUCUGGCCCAUUCUUGCUACUGCCAUCUUUGAAUGGUGAGUGGAUCCAGUAAAAAUGGACUCCGGAGGUAACAAGAACCUCCCCACCCAGUGGGCCAAGGUGCCCACAGCUGAUGAAAGUCCAAUGGCUGUGCUGUCUCAACAGCGAUACUGCUGGAUCCGGGCGUAGGUGGGAAUUGCAGCAUCUCCUUUUCUAUUAUUUGUUUAAAGCCAACUGUGGGCAAGGCACGAUGAUACGGUGGCCAUUUUAUAGCAGAGGAAGUUGAUACUCAGGGCUGGUAACUUGUCUGAGGCCACACCAGUAUCAUGUGGAAAUGUGAACUCAGCAAGGCCUCUCUGACUUCACAGACAGAAUCGGGCAGUCAUCUAAAAUUGACCGCAGCAAAGGUCCAGCCAGAGGGAAGGUAUGAAUUUAUUUGUUCCUUCUUCCAUUCGCUCUCUUCUUAUUUGGGGAGUGCCUGCUAGGCUCGCUUGCCGACGACCAGGCCCCAGGGCUGUGGAAGUAACAGGCUUGACCUCUGCCCUCAUGGACCUCUGGGCCACUGGAGUCUGGCUACUCAAACUCUGGUCCACGGACCAGCAUCCCCGGGUUCUUGUUAGAAGUGUGGAGUCCCCGGCCCCACCCAGAGUCCUAAAUUAGAAUGUUCAUUUUAGGCUGGUCUCCAGGCUGUUUGUAAGGUCCUUAAAGUUGAAAAGAUGCAUAAAUUCAAGAGCAAAGCAAAUGGGGAAGAAAGUGGAAAAUGGGAGCUGGCCAUCCAGGCAGUGGCGGGCUGUGUGCCUAAAAAAGGAGAAUCUGAGCAUGUUCAGGCGAAGCGAGUGAUAAAUCAGAGUUGAGGAGAAAAAAAAAUGGGGAGAGAAAUACUUGAAGCUGGAGCAGCGUGGGCGUGUGGGCCGACCUGCCUCCCACUAGCUGUGAGAGCUCAUCCAGCCUCAGUUUCCUUCUCUGUAAAAGGGGGGUAAAGAGUAUCUGUUUCACCAAAUUGUGAGGAAGAGGGAGUCCAUCUAUGGCAGGUGUGUCGUGGAGAACUUGGCACGUGGCGAGUCCCAAGUGUAUCAGCUGUUGUCAUUGUCGUUAUUAUUACUGUAAGUUGGCUGCUCUGAGGACUUCCCGGGUGGGACCCACUGCCCCCCUGAGAACCGUGCCUUCGGAGAGAACAAUGAAACAAGCCUCUGAGCUGAGACUGAAGACAGACGCCCAAGGUCUUUUCUCAGCUGUCUUCCAAGAGGAGCCUAAGUAUCACCUCCUCUUAGAACCAUCCUUUUAUUUAUCCUCAUGUGUUUAUUAGUGCAAACAAUGUUCCGUCUAAUUACAUAGUUAGCCCUAGAUAAUGUCAGGAAGGAUAACCGUCAGUGUUUAUUGAACAUCUAUUACGGGCAGUUACUGGGUAAAACUUUUUACAGGCGUUACCUCCAUUUAAUCCUCUCAAACGUCUGUGAGGCUUUGAGUAAUUUCACUGCCAUUGUCACAAAUGAGAACACGGAGGCUUGGCCGAUAGACAAGAAAUCCAUCUGUUGAUGUCAGGUCACGUGGUGGCGGCGCGGGCAGGAUGCUGCGGAGCAGACGUGGAGAGGGCCAUCGGAUGCAGAGCCCUCUGCAGCUCCUCUCCACCCACAGCUCAGAUGCCCAUGCUCCUUUGCCCAGUUUCCUCGGUGCAGGGAGCAAAGCUCCAAAGAUGUUCUCCUCCAGGGUUCCCAGCCCCUGAUUCUUUAAUCGAAUGCUGAUCUGGGGAUUGCUGUGAAGAGAUUUUGCAGAUGUACUUAGAGGCCCAAGUGCCCUUAACAUACGGAGAUUAUCCAGUGGGGCCUGACCCCGUCCUGUGAGCCCUUUGAAAGCAAAGAGUUUUCUGCGGCUGGUGGCAGAAGGUGUGUCAUGGAGACUUAAAGCACUGGGAGGACUUAAUGUCCAUGGCUGCCUUUGAAAACGCAAGAGGCCACGCGAUGAGGACCCAAGAGGGGCUUCUGGAAGCUGGGAGUGGUCCUACUGAAAGCCAGGAAGGAGGCCAAGCCUCAGGCCUAUGCAGAGAGGAACCGGACCCUGGCCAUAACCUGAGUGAAUUUGGAAGCAGAUUCCUCCCCAGAGCCUCAGGAUCGAGCCCUACCUGGUCAACACCUUGACUCUGGCCUUGGGAGAUCCACUGAGGAUCUCUUGGACUCCUGACCGGUGGGAACUGUCAAGUACAAAGUAGGUGUUGUUUUAAGCUGCUACGUUUGGGGAAGGUUGGUACAGCAACAGAAGACUAAUCCGGUCCACCCAGGAAGGCAUCUCAGUACACCUCACACUGUAGGGUUCUCACUCUGCAACUUUUCUGGCUGUGACAUCAAAGGGUAUUAUGUUACUUGUCGCUCUGACAAGUAAACGUAAAGGUGAUUGAAGUGUGUGUCCCGAGGGACAGACCGGAUGGGACGUCAUUUUCCCCCCUUGGACGUUAGGCUUCCUUGACUCCCAGUUCACCUUCUUCCCUUGGUAGUUGCUUGGCCUUGAGUUUUUCAAUCAGUCUCUCCAGGUCUCCUGUUUCAGCCAUAAAAUUGGGAUAAUCAUAGGGUUGUUGGGAGGAUUAAAUGGUAUAAUAUUCAUAAAGCGUUUGAUUCCCUGCCGAGCACACGCCGAUUGCUUGAUAAGUGUUAUCUGUACACGGGAUCUUUGCCUGGGUGGGUGAACGAGGGAGUGCAUCCAGCAAGAAAGAGAUAAGACAUCAUCCCCAUGAACACAGCUCUCAGGUUUUGCAACUCAGGUCACAUUUUGUCCUGGGCCAGAUGAACACGUAUCCCCUGAUCUGUGAACCUGGGGAGUGAUUCCCACAGCAGAUCCUGAAAUGCAGAGCCAGAUGCUAAACCAAGUGGGCGGGCAACCAACUGGAGAGGCUCCUUAGAGCCCAGAAGAGCCACAGGGCUCAGCUGGGGAUGCCUCUGCAGGUGCUGGGCCCGCCAUCCACUCAGUCAUCCAGGCCGAGAGCUCAGGGGUGGGCUGCACACAGAGAUCCAGUGAAUAACAGGACUGUGUGCUCCAUCAAACCGGUUGAGCCGGCAGCCCCGGGGUUGACAAGGCAGACUUAACUCUAGCCUCGUUCUCGGCAUCUCUUCAUUUCAAGUCUUGCCAAGGAGCCAGAGGUAGACAUCUGCAAACAUGCUUAUGUUCUGAUUGAGUGUGUAUUACCCCACCUUGUUAAUUUUUCUGGAAGACAGGUGAUCUGGGCCAACAUGGAUAUGGCCUGAUUUUUUUUUUUUUUUUAUUCAACUGUGCUUUCUCAGGGAAAUCUGUAUCUUAAAAGGGUUUGUCACCAGGAAAAAAAAAAAAAAAAA